GAAAAAUUCCUGAACUGCUCAAUCGAUAUUUGAUCCCAAAACGCGCACACAUACACACUCUACAAUCGGCAAACUCCAAUGGAAGUUCCAUCAGCUGCAUCCAAUACUUCAUCGAUACCCUCAAAUUCCGGCAGCCGUCGAAGCCCAUUUCGGCCCUUUCACUGCAGCUGCCUUAGAGGCUGCUGUCGUUGCUUCUGCUGCUUUUAUUCCUACCCUUGAAAUAUAUUUAGUUUAACCCACAAACCUGUAUAUAUUAGGAAGAUCUUUAGGUAUGGUGGAGUUGAUUGUCAGUUUUCAAUUUUCAUAAAUGGAUGAAAAGAUGCCACUUUUUUUCCGUUUUUUGUUUAGUAGUAAUUUUACUUGCAUUUGUGAAUUACUGGAAAAAAAAAUAUUUGCACUGGUGUAUGUUUCUGAAAGUGGAGUUCUUUUUGGAUCUUUAUCUUUCUCUGAUAUUUUUGCUUAUUUUAAUGGCUUGACUUGGAUGAAACUUAAGGGAAUUGAGCCAUAGACUACAAGUGUAUGAUGUCCAUAUGUAUAGGAGGAUGGAUACUACUUUGUUUGAGCCAUCGGUCUUGGGAAUCAAAUUGAUAGUGGGGCUUCUGGUUGAAUUUUAACUAGAUAUUAUGUCGAAAUUUUGAGAAUUGGGACUUCGGGUAAUUAGUAAUUAAGAAUGUUGAUCCAAUUUUGCCACUUUGAGCAAAGCAAAUGGUAGAAGAACUCAUUAACUAUGUCCAGAUACUCAUCUGGAAGUUUCUUGCGUCAUCAAUUUUUUUGUGUCAAAAGCAAAUAUUGGGCUUAUGCUUGCAAAUUAUUUGGACUGGGUUUUAAAUGAACGACUAUGGAGGCUUGUGAUUAUUGGUAAUUGUUGGAUUUUAUACGCAAUAAUAAAGAGAUGAAAUAGAGAAAUCAGCACAAAAAUUUACGUGGUUCGGCACCACGUCCACGAGAGCGAAUCGGAGAUAAUAUUAUCAAAUAUGAAAAAUAGAGUUACAAUAUUAUUAUUUAUACUAACCCUAGCUUAGGUCCAUAAAAACUUUAAGACCCAUACAAGAAAGUACCCCUAUACCAGACCGUGGCGACGUUUCUCUCGCACCCUCAACCCAUUCAGCGUCCCUAACAACUAGACAGUGAAUUAAACUCGUGCAAAACCAAUGUCGUCGCUCUGCUUCAUUUUGUUAGGUGCGCUACGCUCCCCUCACUCUGCUCCGCUACGGCAUCAACCUAUUUGAUCCAGAAACGAAUUCUUGCGUGGUCCAAGGAAAUCAAAGGUCCGCUUCCACGAUUUCAUCUAUAUGGAAUCUCUUAAUAUCAUAAUAGCUUAGUGCUUUCUGCCCUUGCCUAAGGGAUGAGGAAGAAAGGAAUUCACUGGGUCGUGAGGGAGUUUCAAUCGGUCUUUUCUAGGAUUCCUUAUCACGCCACACAUGGAGAUUUUUCCAUUGAUAGUCUGUGUUCCAUUCUAUAUGAACGACAUACACAACAGUAAUUAAACUAAUUAGUGUAAGAAAUUUCAUCUUUGAGGAUUUAGGGCUUUAUAUUAUUAAAUGGGCUAUAGGAAUCAUACCAUGUUGGGACAUAAUAGUUGGUUUAGGGUAAUGAGUUGAGGGAUGUCGUAGACGUUUGCAAUAUGAAAUGAUGUCUCAGUGGUGUUGGUACAGAUUAUAGUUUGUACUAAUAAUCGUCAUUCGCUAUAAAGCUUCAUUAUUUUGGUAAUUUUUUACAGUUAUUGCCAUUAAAAUAUGUACAUCUCUUUUCUUAUUAGUGUGGAGUGAUGUCAUAAACGACAAGCGUAUGAUGUCCAUAUGUGCUGGAGGAUGUAUACAGGUUUAUUUGAGCCAUUGGUCUUGGGAAUCAAAUUGACAGUUUUGGGGUAAUAGUAAUUAAGCAUGUUGAUCAAAUGAAUGCCGCUUUGAGUAAAGCAAGUGCUAGAAGAACAAAACAAGGAUCUCACCAUGGUCAUCUGAAAGUUUCUUACCUCAUCAAUUUGUUAAUGUCAAAAGCAAGUAAUGGGUUAUGAAUUUAAAGUCUAUACAUUUAUCUAUUUGCUUGAAAAAGAUUCAAUUUUUGGGUUUAAAUAUACAAUUAGGAGCUACUUGUUAUUUGUAGUUUAUCUCCUUCGUGUAAGAAAUUUCCUCUUUGAGGAUUCAGUGCUUACUUUGUACUACCAUCUGAUGUAUACGAAUCAUCCCAUAUUGGGACAUGAUAGUUGUUCUAGACAAACGAGUCUCAGGAUGUCAUCGAAGUUUGCAAGAUAAAUGAUGUCUCAGUGGUAUGUGCGCAAAUAUAGUUUGUACCAGUGGUCAUCUUUUGCCAUAAAGAAUGUGGGUCAGACAGGGCCUUAAUAUGUUGCAAAAUGAAGAGGUCAACUGGCUGCAGAUUCUGUCGAAGAUUUGCAUUCUUCAUCAUGAACCGGGCCUGGCACUUUGGUACAUGGGCAAGGGAUGUAUUAACAAGCGUGACAGAUAGCCUGAAGUUGCUAUUGGAAUAAACAACGAAUUCAGGAUAAUACUGAAGAGCCAAUCACUUCGCAACAGGAGAUUGAAUUCGAACAUGCCAAUUAAGAUCUUGGCACGUAUGUGCCAAAGCACGAUCUUUGCUCUGGUGAAGUCUUUAAAGUUGAUAUUGUAACGUGUUCUAUAUUCUUUCAUGUUCAUCAUGUUUUGUCAUUCCAUUUAGUUGGUAUAGAGUCAGAAUUCGCUCAUGCAGCCUAACACACUAAUUUUGGUUUUGUGAUCGCGAGAUUAUCCGAGUUCUUGCUGCCUUUGAACUAAACAUGAUCCAUAUCCUUAAAGUUGUUAAUCAGUUUCUAUAAAGAUUUUCUUGUUAUAA